UACGGGGGGGGCAAGCGUUGUUCGGAAUUACUGGGCGUAAAGGGCUCGUAGGCGGCCAACUAAGUCAGACGUGAAAUCCCUCAGCUUAACUGGGGAACUGCGUCUGAUACUGGAUGGCUUGAGUUCGGGAGAGGGAUGCGGAAUUCCAGGUGUAGCGGUGAAAUGCGUAGAUAUCAGGAGGAAUACCGAUGGCGAAGGCAGGUCUCUGGGCCAAUACUGACGCUCAUGCACGAAAGCGUGGGGAGCAAACAGG
rnacentral:rRNA from 1 species